rnacentral:rRNA from 1 species
CAGCCGCCGCGGUAAUACGUAGGUGGCAAGCGUUGUCCGGAAUUAUUGGGCGUAAAGCGCGCGCAGGUGGUUUAAUAAGUCUGAUGUGAAAGCCCCCGGCUCAACCGGGGAGGGUCAUUGGAAACUGGGAAACUUGAGUGCAGAAGAGGAGAGUGGAAUUCCACGUGUAGCGGUGAAAUGCGUAGAGAUGUGGAGGAACACCAGUGGCGAAGGCGACUCUCUGGUCUGUAACUGACGCUGAGGAGCGAAAGCGUGGGGAGCGAACAGGAUUAGAUACCCCCGUAGUCCCUGUCUCUUAUAC